CGAGUUGGCCAGGCAGUCGCUGCGUUCGCAAGAACGGGGAGGAAAGUCCGGGCUCCAUAGAGCAGGGUGCCAGAUAACGUCUGGGCGGCGUGAGCCGACGACCAGUGCAACAGAGAGUAGACCGCCAGCCUUCGGGCCGGUAAGGGUGAAAGGGUGCGGUAAGAGCGCACCGCGCGGCUGGUAACAGUCCGUGGCACGGUAAACUCCACCCGGAGCAAGAUCAAAUAGGGUUCCUUAUGGCGUGGCUCGCGUCGGAACCGGGUAGAUUGCUUGAGCCUGCGAGUGAUUGCAGGCCUAGAGGAAUGGCUGCCGCUCCCUUCGGGGAGAACAGAACCCGGCUUAUAUAGUGCCAACUCACCUC
rnacentral:RNase_P_RNA from 1 species